rnacentral:rRNA from 1 species
AACGAACGCUGGCGGCAUGCCUAACACAUGCAAGUCGAACGAGAUCUUCGGGUCUAGUGGCGCACGGGUGCGUAACGCGUGGGAAUCUGCCCUUUGGUUCGGAAUAACAGUUGGAAACGACUGCUAAUACCGGAUGAUGACGAAAGUCCAAAGAUUUAUCGCCAGAGGAUGAGCCCGCGUAGGAUUAGCUAGUUGGUGUGGUAAAGGCGCACCAAGGCGAUGAUCCUUAGCUGGUCUGAGAGGAUGAUCAGCCACACUGGGACUGAGACACGGCCCAGCCUCCUACGGGAGGCAGCAGUGGGGAAUAUUGGACAAUGGGCGAAAGCCUGAUCCAGCAAUGCCGCGUGAGUGAUGAAGGCCUUAGGGUUGUAAAGCUCUUUUACCCGGGAUGAUAAUGACAGUACCGGGAGAAUAAGCUCCGGCUAACUCCGUGCCAGCCGCCGCGGUAACAC